UAUUAAAUAUCUUAAAUAUAAGAAUUGAAUUUUUAAUUCAAAAAUAUUAAAUUAAUACUUAAUUUUAAUAA
rnacentral:tRNA from 1 species